rnacentral:rRNA from 1 species
GAUGAACGCUGGCGGCGUGCCUAAUACAUGCAAGUCGAGCGAACAGACGAGGAGCUUGCUCCUCUGACGUUAGCGGCGGACGGGUGAGUAACACGUGGAUAACCUACCUAUAAGACUGGGAUAACUUCGGGAAACCGGAGCUAAUACCGGAUAAUAUAUUGAACCGCAUGGUUCAAUAGUGAAAGACGGUUUUGCUGUCACUUAUAGAUGGAUCCGCGCCGCAUUAGCUAGUUGGUAAGGUAACGGCUUACCAAGGCAACGAUGCGUAGCCGACCUGAGAGGGUGAUCGGCCACCCUGGAACUGAGACACGGUCGCGACUCCUACGGGAGGCAGCAGCGGGGACUCUUACGCAAUGGGCGAAAGCCUGACGGAGCAACGCCGCGUGAGUGAUGAAGGUCUUCGGAUCGUAAAACUCUGUUAUUAGGGAAGAACAAAUGUGUAAGUAACUAUGCACGUCUUGACGGUACCUAAUCAGAAAGCCACGGCUAACUCCGUG